CUGAUGUUCCCGCAGGAAAAGGAUGAGCCCUAUUAAACCAGAACAUCAGCAUCAAAGGCAACAAGCAGAGGUUAUAAGAGGAACAGAGAAGAAAGCAAUGUAUCUCCAAAGGAUUCCUGCCAACACUGCAAAUUAGAAAUGUCACAUUCCUACAGCUGAGAGAGGGAAAAGACAGAGCUUCAUGGGAAGAUGGAGUACUGCCAUUUUCAUUCAGAGCCCAUAAAAGCUUAUUUCUUCCCUCUUCAGUUCUUGUUUUUACUCUUAGAUAAACAAGGUGAACUGUGUGGAA